CAGUCGCCGCGGGAAUACGUAGGGUGCAAGCGUUAAUCGGAAUUACUGGGCGUAAAGCGUGCGCAGGCGGUUAUAUAAGACAGAUGUGAAAUCCCCGGGCUCAACCUGGGAACUGCAUUUGUGACUGUAUAGCUAGAGUACGGCAGAGGGGGAUGGAAUUCCGCGUGUAGCAGUGAAAUGCGUAGAUAUGCGGAGGAACACCGAUGGCGAAGGCAAUCCUCUGGGCCUGUACUGACGCUCAUGCACGAAAGCGUGGGGAGCAAACAGGAUUAGAUACCCCGGUAGUCCCUGUCUCUUAUAC
rnacentral:rRNA from 1 species